rnacentral:rRNA from 1 species
AGAGUUUGAUCCUGGCUCAGGACGAACGCUGGCGGCGUGCUUAACACAUGCAAGUCGAACGGACUUAUUUAACGGAUAUUUUCGGAUGGAAGUUAAAUAGGUUAGUGGCGGACGGGUGAGUAACGCGUGGGUAACCUACCCUGCUUACGGGGACAACAGCUGGAAACGGCUGCUAAUACCGGAUACGAUCCUUGGGCUGCAUGGCCUAAGGAAGAAAGGUGGCCUCUAUUUAUAAGCUACCGAUGCAGGAUGGGCCCGCGUCUGAUUAGAUAGUUGGUGAGGUAACGGCUCACCAAGUCAGCGAUCAGUAGCCGGCCUGAGAGGGUGGCCGGCCACACUGGGACUGAGACACGGCCCAGACUCCUACGGGAGGCAGCAGUGGGGAAUCUUCCGCAAUGGGCGCAAGCCUGACGGAGCAACGCCGCGUGAGUGAAGAAGGCCUUCGGGUCGUAAAGCUCUGUCUUCAGGGAAGAACAACCAUAGUGUGAAUAAUGCUAUGGUCUGACGGUACCUGAGGAGGAAGCUCCGGCUAACUACGUGCCAGCAGCCGCGGUAAUACGUAGGGAGCGAGCGUUGUCCGGAAUUACUGGGCGUAAAGGGCGUGUAGGCGGGGAUUUAAGUCAGAUGUGAAAACUCUAGGCUCAACCUGGAGACUGCAUUUGAAACUGGAUCUCUUGAGGGCAGGAGAGGAAAGUGGAAUUCCUAGUGUAGCGGUGAAAUGCGUAGAUAUUAGGAGGAACACCAGUGGCGAAGGCGACUUUCUGGACUGUACCUGACGCUGAGGCGCGAAAGCGUGGGGAGCGAACAGGAUUAGAUACCCUGGUAGUCCACGCUGUAAACGAUGAAUACUAGGUGUAGGGGGUAUCGACCCCCUCUGUGCCGCAGUUAACACAAUAAGUAUUCCGCCUGGGGAGUACGGCCGCAAGGCUGAAACUCAAAGGAAUUGACGGGGACCCGCACAAGCGGUGGAGCAUGUGGUUUAAUUCGACGCAACGCGAAGAACCUUACCAGGGCUUGACAUCCCCUGACAGCCAUGGAAACAUGGUGUUCGAGCUUUCGGGUUCGACAGGGAGACAGGUGGUGCAUGGUUGUCGUCAGCUCGUGUCGUGAGAUGUUGGGUUAAGUCCCGCAACGAGCGCAACCCCUAUUUCCAGUUGCCAGCACUUAGGGUGGGAACUCUGGAGAAACUGCCGGUGACAAACCGGAGGAAGGUGGGGAGGACGUCAAAUCAUCAUGCCCUUUAUGUCCUGGGCUACACACGUGCUACAAUGGUCGGUACAGAGGGCUGCGAAGCCGUGAGGUGGAGCGAAUCUCAAAAAGCCGGUCUCAGUUCGGAUUGCAGGCUGCAACCCGCCCGCAUGAAGUCGGAAUCGCUAGUAAUCGCGAGUCAGCAUAUCGCGGUGAAAAAGGGCCCGGGUCUUGCACACACCGCCCGUCA